rnacentral:rRNA from 1 species
AGGACUUGACAUCCUAAUCGUAUUUCCUAGAGAUAGGAGAGUGAGUUUGGCUGGAUUAGUGAC